rnacentral:rRNA from 1 species
UACGGAGGGUGCAAGCGUUGUCCGGAUUCAUUGGGCGUAAAGGGUGCGUAGGCGGUCGCGCAAGUCGGAUGUGAAAUCUCAGGGCUCAACCCUGAAACUGCAUUCGAUACUGCGUGGCUAGAGUGCUGGAGAGGAGACUGGAAUUUACGGUGUAGCAGUGAAAUGCGUAGAUAUCGUAAGGAAGACCAGUGGCGAAGGCGAAUCUCUGGACAGUUACUGACACUGAGGCACGAAGGCCAGGGGAGCAAACGGG